GGCCAGCAGCCGCGGUAAAACGUAGGAGGCGAGCGUUAUCCGGAUUCACUGGGCGUAAAGCGCGUGCAGGCGGUUCGGUAAGUUGGGCGUGAAAUCUCCUGGCUUAACUAGGAGAGGUCGUUCAAUACUACCGAGCUUGAGAGUGGUAGAGGAAGAUGGAAUUCCCGGUGUAGUGGUGAAAUGCGUAGAUAUCGGGAGGAACACCAGUGGCGAAAGCGAUCUUCUGGACCAUUUCUGACGCUCAGACGCGAAAGCUAGGGUAGUAAACGGGAUUAGAGACCCCGGUAAUCCUAGCCGUAAACGAUGUAAACUUGGCGUCGGUGGCUUAAACUCCAUCGGUGCCGCAGCUAACGCGAUAAGUUUACCGCCUGGGGACUACGAUCGCAAGAUUAAAACUCAAAGGAAUUGACGGGGGCCCGCACA
rnacentral:rRNA from 1 species